ensembl:lncRNA
UGGACUUCAGAUGACUCAGACUGACAUUUUUUGGCAGUUAAAAGGAGGUGCAAAUUCUUUCUGCUGUGGGUAUGGAAGUGCAGUUGAAAAGUAUUUUGUUUUUCAGCAUAAUGGGACUGCAGUCACUUCGGCAAAUCUCCAGGUUUGUUUUUGUAGGCUUCUGUGUCGCUGUGAUGUGAUGGGGCGGUUCAGGCUGAAGUGGUUCAGGAAGAACUCCUUCCUCCUGUACUGAGCCGCUUCUGGAUCAGGCAGAUUUCUGACCUCUACAGUAAAGCACGUAGAUACUGAUCCCUUCCCACCCGAAGAAGUCUGUGAUGACAUGAGGC